CCUACGGGCGGCAGCAGUAGGGAAUAUUGCUCAAUGGGCGAAACCCUGAAGCAGCAACGCCGCGUGAAGGAUGAAGGUUUUCUGAUUGUAAACUUCUUUUUUUAGAGAAGAAAAUGAAGGUAUCUAACCAAUAAUCACUGUCUAACUCCGUGCCAGCAGCCGCCGUAAUACGGAGGGUGCAGGCGUUACUCGGAAUGACUGGGCGUAAAGAGCGCGUAGGCGGUUUAGCAAGUCAGAUGUGAAAUCCUAUGGCUUAACCAGAGAACUGCAGUUGAAACUGUUAUUGUUGAGUAUGGGAGAGGUAGGUGGAAUGCUUGGUGUAGGGGUAAAAUGCGUAGAUAUCAAGAGGAACACCGAUGGCGAAGGCGGCCUGCUGGAACAUAACUGACGCUGAUGCGCGAAAGCGUGGGGAGCAAACAGGAUUAGAUACCCCAGUAGUC
rnacentral:rRNA from 1 species